ACGCGACCUGGAUGAGGCGUCCCUCCGCCCUGAAGCCAGCUCCCAUCGUGUGUGCCUCGGGCCGCGCCCACGACCCCUGGCCGUGCAGCUGGAGCCCGGUCAGGACACCCCACCCCGCACCCCCGGAGGACCGUCGCCCGCCCCGGCCCCGCUGGGUGCAGUCUCCGCGCACCUGCCCGCCGCCCGCCUGCUGGUCUGGAGGUGAUGGGGAUGUCUGAGCUGUCUGUCCAGACUUCAUAAAAGUGAACCAUUUGAGUCCCUUGAAAAUGCAAGUGUCAGUUUUUGUCUGCAGGACUCGGAUUCCUGGAAGAGAGUACCAGGGAAAGCGCAACCGGCAACGAUUUAGCAAUCCGAAAUUUGGGGUGGAAACAGCAAAUGGUUAAUGGGAGUUCAGCCACAGGUUACACAGUGCUUUGAAGGCCUGAAGGGUAUCGAUGUCCACACCAAACCAAACCGUGGGCCAUGAGUACCAUUACCACCCGCAAGUCAGACGGAGACCCAGAGAAGUGCUGCAAGGUGCCACAAGAGCACAGCUAACAGCGCAGAAAGGACUGAGAUCCAAAUGCUGGGUUUUGCUUCACAGAUUACAAUACUGAUGCUAGAGCCCGAGGCAGUAAAGAAUUAGGAAUGAGAAUCAUCUCUACAUAUAAAGUCUGUGGUUACCACAUCUAACCUAGUUUGCUUGUCAAAGGACUUGCUCUUCUGGACAGAUGACUCUUCUGGUUAAACAUAAGGAGCAAAAAUGUACUUGAACGAGACUUCUUAUAGCUUCAAUCUGAAAACUGAGCAAUUUUUGGCCCUGAGAAGGAGGAAAAAAAAGAAGACUGAAAUUCUAUGGGCUUUUGCUCUAGACACUUAGCCUGAUCAUAAAAAUAUAAAGUUGCUUCAACAUAACCAAAUCUUUAACCUGGUGCUGGCCUUAAAACAAGUCACCUGUAGUCCCCCAGCUUAACAAACUGAGGGGAAACUGAGGCACAGAGAUGUCUAUGGAUUUGCUCAAGUUCACAGAGUAACCGAGCGACAGAACAGAGAUGUGAAGCCAAAUCUUCCUGGCCAGAGGUCUCUCCAGACGAUGCGGAGCACCUGUUCUGUGCCAAUGUUCUGUUGGGGACAUGAAAGUUACAAAGAGCACACACCCAGUGCUUAACAUGCACUUGAGAAGAUAAGAUACAGUCUUCCACACCCAAAUCAACCAGAAACAACUGAGUAAUAAUAUAAGGCUGUUUGCAAAGAUUAAAAAAACACUAGCAACAUAGUUAAGUGCUGUAAGUGUUCAGAGACAGGGAGGGAGAUAGUUUAGUUUUGAAGACAGAGAAAUGGUUUCAUGGACUCUAUCAGAACAGUAGAAUUGUUAACUUUUUACCUGGAAGCCAUUUCAGCCUUAAAAUAAUUACAAAUAUAAAGAUAGCACAAGGAACACUUGUGUACCCUUUCCUCAGACUCAGACUCACCUACUGUUAACAUUUUAUCCCAUUUGCUCUAACAUUUGUGCUGUUUUUUUUUCAUUCAUUCAUUCAUGUUACAUACACGUGAUUUAAUAAUAAUACCUGAAUAAUUUAAGGUGAGUUAUAUACAUUAUGGCCCAUAACCUCUAAGUACUUCAGUAUGUAUUUUUUAAGAUUAGGAACUUUCUCUUAAAUAACCAAAAUAGUUAUCAACUUCAUUAAUUAUAUUGAUAGGUAAUGCAUUUAUGUAAUCUAACAAUCUACAGCCCAUACUCCAAUCUUACCAGGUGAUCUAAUGGGAUUUUUAAAUCUUAGGGCAUUUUUCCCAGGACAGGAUCCAGUCUAGCAGGUGUCUUUAGCCUCGUCCAGUCCGGAACAUUUCCACAGCCUUUCUUUGGUUUUCAUGACCUUGACACUUCUGAAGACUAUAGUUCUAGCUCCCAUUAAUUUUUCUCUCUUUUUAGUACAAUAUUCCUCAUUUUAUGCUUACCUGAUGCUUCCUUUGUGGUUGGAUGGAGGUAAUACUGCAUAGGCGGUUUUGUAUUCUUUGUGUGUGAUAUCAGUCUCUCCCUCAUAGUCAUGUUCAUUUUGAUCACCCAGUCAAGUGGUUGUCCAAAAUGUCCACUCUAUAAUGCUUAUUUUUCUCCCUUAUAAUAAACAAUUUUACUUGAAAGUAACACGUGAAAACCGCAAAAAUAUCCUGCUCCUCAUCAAUACUUCCCUUAAACUUAACAGCCCCUGAAUUACUGGAGUCGAUCUUUAACAUCAUGGUUGCAAAAUGGGGUUUUCCAACUCCAGUACUCACAUUAUAUGUAGCGUUUGGCUUCUGCAUCCUGGUAUAAGAGUAAGCCCUCCCUCCUUCUCACCCAUCUAUUGAUUGCUUGAUUGAUAGGUUGAUCUUUCUCUUUCCUUCUUCCUUUCCCUCUUGUCUAUUAUAAUUUGGUAAUAAUUUUUUAUUUUUAAUUGGUUUAUAAUUCAUUAUUAUACUUAAUUAUUUUGGUGGAUGGAUUGUCCUGGUUUUGGCCAUGUUCCAACAUGGAAAAAAAGAAAAGUUUCAGAAUGCUAAAUAGGAAACGUUUAUGUGACUUUUACUUGAACAACAUCCUAAGUAAGUGAUCAGUAAAUUCUUGUUCCCUAUAUUGAAUCAGAGUUUUGUUCAUGAAAGGUGAAGAGUAAUAUUCAGAAUUAUUAGAAUAGUUUCUACAAGUAUCUUGAUUUAUUAUUUUUUUAAACUUUUAAAAGUUUUAUUUAUUCAUGAGAGGCACAGAGAGAGGCAGAGACA